GACGCUGGCGGCGUGCCUGACACAUGCAAGUCGAACGAACCGAGGGGCUGUUGAUCGGGUUUCGGAAGGGUUCGUCCCGGAAGAGCCCGUGAGGUUCCUUGGUUAGUGGCGAACGGGUGAGUAACACGUAGGUGACCUGCCCCGAAGAGGGGGAUAACCACUGGAAACGGUGGCUAAUACCCCAUGUGGUCCCGCAUUCGUUUGCGGGAUUAAAGGCUCCGGCGCUUCGGGAGGGGCCUGCGGCCUAUCAGCUAGUUGGUAGGGUAAUGGCCUACCAAGGCUAUGACGGGUAGCUGGUCUGAGAGGACGGACAGCCACACUGGCACUGAGACACGGGCCAGACUCCUACGGGAGGCAGCAGUGAGGAAUAUUGCGCAAUGGGGGAAACCCUGACGCAGCAACGCCGCGUGGGCGAAGAAGGUCUUCGGAUCGUAAAGCCCUUUUCUCUCGGACGAGGAAGGACGGUACGGGAGGAAUAAGCGUCGGCUAACUACGUGCCAGCAGCCGCGGUAAAACGUAGGACGCAAGCGUUAUCCGGAUUUAUUGGGCGUAAAGGGCGUCUAGGCGGCGUCUUAAGUUGGGCGUGAAAUCUUCCGGCUCAACCGGAAGGGUGCGUCCAAUACUGGGACGCUUGAGGACAGCAGNAGGGAGGUGGAAUUCCCNGGAGUAGCGGUGGAAUGCGUAGAUAUCGGGAGGAACACCAGUGGCGAAGGCGGCCUCCUNGGGCUGUACCUGACGCUGAAGCGCGAAAGCGUGGGGAGCAAACGGGAUUAGAUACCCCGGUAGUCCACGCCGUAAACGAUGGAUACUAGGUGUCGGUGGUAUUGACCCCAUCGGUGCCGCAGCUAACGCAUUAAGUAUCCCGCCUGGGGACUACGGCCGCA
rnacentral:rRNA from 1 species